AUCAGAAGAGUUUUUAGUGUUUUUAAGGGCAUGUGCUGUUGCUUUUUAAGAGAUUUUUUAGGGCUUUGAGAGAGUAUAAGAUUUUGGUGUAUUUCUUAGCUUAAUUUAUUUAAUGGUGGCCACGACUGGAUUUGAACCAGCGACCCCUACCA
rnacentral:antisense_RNA from 1 species